GCCUGGAGUUCAUUCCUGCUUGAACAACAAAGGUACAGAGAUCAUACUACACACCCAGAACACUGAAGCACUUGCCAUGCAGGCAGUACUUCUCUUUUAUGAAAAGAUGAUACAGAUCAGUUGCAACUAUGUUACACCACCACCAUGUACAACGACCGGACACCGAAACAUCAUCCUAGUGCAGAGCUGUGAGGAUUGCAGUGGCGCUCUCAACCUUGAAGGUUGCACCACAGAUCUCUUCUUCAUUUGCAGGAACAGCAGUCACCUUGUUCUUUGGGUUCUCAUAGCACUUCAAGCCUCCAAGAGCAUUGGAAUAGAAGCAACCUUGUGGGAAAGGUGCAAGUGACUUGCCACAUGAUCCUUUAAGCAGGUCAAUGUCGUUAGAGAAGGCAACAGAUCCAUCA
rnacentral:misc_RNA from 1 species